rnacentral:rRNA from 1 species
CCUACGGGGGGCAGCAGUGAGGAAUAUUGGUCAAUGGACGAGAGUCUGAACCAGCCAAGUAGCGUGAAGGAUGACUGCCCUAUGGGUUGUAAACUUCUUUUAUAUGGGAAUAAAAUGUUCCACGUGUGGGAUUUUGUAUGUACCAUAUGAAUAAGGAUCGGCUAACUCCGUGCCAGCAGCCACGGUAAUACGGAGGGUCCGAGCGUUAUCCGGAUUUAUUGGGUUUAAAGGGAGCGUAGGUGGAUUGUUAAGUCAGUUGUGAAAGUUUGCGGCUCAACCGUAAAAUUGCAGUUGAAACUGGCAGUCUUGAGUACAGUAGAGGUGGGCGGAAUUCGUGGUGUAGCGGUGAAAUGCUUAGAUAUCACGAAGAACUCCGAUUGCGAAGGCAGUUCACUGGACUGCAACUGACACUGAGGCUCGAAAGUGUGGGUAUCAAACAGGAUUAGAUACCCUUGUAGUC